UGUCUAAUUAAAACAAAGCAUUGUGAUGGACACUGGUCGGUGUUGACGCAUAGUGAUUUCUGCCCAGUGCUCUGAAUGUCAACGUGAAGAGAUUCAUCAAAGCGCGGGUAAACGGCAGGAGUAACUAUGACUCUCUUGUCAUAGCUUUUCGGGACAGAAG
rnacentral:rRNA from 1 species